CGGAGAGUUUGAUCCUGGCUCAGGACGAACGCUGGCGGCGUGCCUAAUACAUGCAAGUCGAGCGGACAGAUGGGAGCUUGCUCCCUGAUGUUAGCGGCGGACGGGUGAGUAACACGUGGGUAACCUGCCUGUAAGACUGGGAUAACUCCGGGAAACCGGGGCUAAUACCGGAUGCUUGUUUGAACCGCAUGGUUCAGACGUAAAAGGUGGCUUCGGCUACCACUUACAGAUGGACCCGCGGCGCAUUAGCUAGUUGGUGAGGUAACGGCUCACCAAGGCGACGAUGCGUAGCCGACCUGAGAGGGUGAUCGGCCACACUGGGACUGAGACACGGCCCAGACUCCUACGGGAGGCAGCAGUAGGGAAUCUUCCGCAAUGGACGAAAGUCUGACGGAGCAACGCCGCGUGAGUGAUGAAGGUUUUCGGAUCGUAAAGCUCUGUUGUUAGGGAAGAACAAGUGCCGUUCAAAUAGGACGGCACCUUGACGGUACCUAACCAGAAAGCCACGGCUAACUACGUGCCAGCAGCCGCGGUAAUACGUAGGUGGCAAGCGUUGUCCGGAAUUAUUGGGCGUAAAGGGCUCGCAGGCGGUUUCUUAAGUCUGAUGUGAAAGCCCCCGGCUCAACCGGGGAGGGUCAUUGGAAACUGGGGAACUUGAGUGCAGAAGAGG
rnacentral:rRNA from 1 species